UACGAAGGGGGCUAGCGUUGCUCGGAAUCACUGGGCGUAAAGGGUGCGUAGGCGGGUCUUUAAGUCAGGGUGAAAUCCUGGAGCUCAACUCCAGAACUGCCUUUGAUACUGAGGAUCUUGAGUUCGGAGAGGUGAGUGGAACUGCGAGUGUAGAGGUGAAAUUCGUAGAUAUUCGCAAGAACACCAGUGGCGAAGGCGGCUCACUGGCCCGAUACUGACGCUGAGGCACGAAAGCGUGGGAGCAACAGG
rnacentral:rRNA from 1 species